CAUUGGGUAUUCGGUGGGAUUUGGCGUCGAUUGCACUCGAAGACCGAAACGUUUACUGCGAUGAAAAACGAAAUCCGCUGGUUUAUGCCUCCCGCGUAGUGAAAAAAACCUUGUUGUUUGUUCAUUUUCUCAUGUUUUUUAAAAAUAUAAAUAACACAAUAAAAUAGCGGUAAAAAUCGACUAGUUAACAGAAAAGUGCCAUUCCAUUUCAAAGAAAAGUUUGAAAACGCGAAGUUAUUUUCAAAGCAGACUAGUCACGUGUUUGGAUAAUUUGCAUACGUCAACGCUUUAUCCACGCGGACGGCGGACGUACUGGUUGAUUGCGUGAUUGAAGCUACGUCGAACAAACCCGAAAAGCGAAUGUCUGGUCUCGCGAUCGAAGUUUAAUGCCGGCUCUCCACGGUCACGCGAUGAUUCAUCUUUUUGGAUGUCUGAGGAUGUAAAAUGCAGUUGUCAUUUUUCAAAGACGUGGCUGAUAGGCAUCAAUUGGUCAGAGGUAUUUUAUUUAUUAAAUCAACAACUAAUAGAUGUGUAAAUGAUGCAGCCUUCUGGUGAAUAUAACCAGUAUCCGGGUUCGCAGAUGCCACAGGUCAUUCCAGUUACUCCCGGCUUGCAGUCACACUGUCCUGUUUCGAGAUCACACUGCUGACUGUUCGAUGCUAUCUCGCAAUU
rnacentral:lncRNA from 1 species